UGAUGGCUGUGAUGAACCUGCCAUGUUGGCUCUCCUGACGUAUAAGCCAUGAAGCUGGCAAAGUCACUACCUCUUCUGAUGCCAUCU